rnacentral:rRNA from 1 species
GUUAGUAGUUAAUACCUGCUAGCUGUGACGUUACUUACAGAAGAAGCACCGGCUAACUCCGUGCCAGCAGCCGCGGUAAUACGGAGGGUGCGAGCGUUAAUCGGAAUUACUGGGCGUAAAGCGUACGCAGGCGGUUUGUUAAGCGAGAUGUGAAAGCCCCGGGCUCAACCUGGGAACUGCAUUUCGAACUGGCAAACUAGAGUGUGAUAGAGGGUGGUAGAAUUUCAGGUGUAGCGGUGAAAUGCGUAGAGAUCUGAAGGAAUACCGAUGGCGAAGGCAGCCACCUGGGUCAACACUGACGCUCAUGUACGAAAGCGUGGGGAGCAAACAGGAUUAGAUACCCUGGUAGUCCACGCC